rnacentral:lncRNA from 1 species
CUCCGCUCCUAUUGUUCCCUGUGUAGAGACAGAGCAAGGGAUUUGACAAAGUUUUGUCCCAAAUCACCUCCCUGUUCCUGUUCCUGCCUUUAGAAGUUCCCAGUGUGGCUGAGCCUUGUUGUGGUCGUAGCUGGGGAUGCAGGGAGCAGCACCCUCACAUCUACAGAGACUUACACAGGUAUUUAUCCAUCUGCUGGGUACCCACGCCUCU